CCUAGAUGUGGUGCUGGAGCCCCUGUCGGUCUCCGAAAGCUUACUGCUUUGCACACUUGAUAUUCAGUGUGGGGCAGUCCAAUAGGAUCAGGUCACCAAGAUCCUACGGGUGGGACAUAGUGGCAGGACUAUAGUCUCCGUAGAGCAGGGCAUGUCCAUAUGGCAAGUAAGAUGCGCGAGAUCCACGCUUUGGCUGCAUCACAAGCAUGAGUGCCAUGUCCUUCAGGGGAAUGUCUAACGUCAGGACAUUCACCGGGUCGGGGUUCCAAAGCGAGCGUGAUCUCACUCUGGAUAGAUGACAUAGCAAUGGGGAUCUUUGGAAUCUCAAGAUGGUGAAUU